rnacentral:rRNA from 1 species
GAUCCUGGCUCAGGAUGAACGCUGGCGGCGCGCCUAACACAUGCAAGUCGAACGGAGCUUAGAUAGCUUGCUUUUUAAGCUUAGUGGCGAACGGGUGAGUAACGCGUGAGUAACCUGCCCUAGAGUGGGGGACAACGGUUGGAAACGACUGCUAAUACCGCAUAAGCCCACGGUACCGCAUGGUACUGAGGGAAAAGGAUUUAUUCGCUUUAGGAUGGACUCGCGUCCAAUUAGCUAGUUGGUGAGGUAACGG